rnacentral:rRNA from 1 species
GAUGGCGAGUGGCGAACGGGUGAGUAAUGCAUCGGAACGUGCCCAGUCGUGGGGGAUAACGCAGCGAAAGCUGUGCUAAUACCGCAUAAUCUCUGAGGAGGAAAGUGGGGGACCUUCGGGCCUCGCGCGAUUGGAGCGGCCGAUGUUAGAUUAGGUAGUUGGUGGGGUAAAAGCUCACCAAGCCGACGAUCUGUAGCUGGUCUGAGAGGAUGAUCAGCCACACUGGGACUGAGACACGGCCCAGACUCC